UUUACACGUAAUGUAGCUGGGUCCCAUUGUAUCUGCAUAUGGAUGCCGGUUGUCCUCCAAGAAACCUCGUUCUAAAAAUGGGGAUAGUGCUGAGUCUGAUCAAAGGGAAUUGGAGGAGAUUCAGCAAAAAGUGGGACUUUGGGGAUAUCUUAUGCUAAUUACAUACCAGACUUGUGCAGGGUGCUGUGAUGCUAAUAGACAUUGUGUUGUGGUGUAUUCUUGUGCCAUUUUUAUUGGGUGAUCAGUUUAGCCUAACCCUGGUAACUAAUUAUUUGUUUGUGGUCACUUUGGAUUUCUUUGGUAGAGGUGUGUACUGGCUUGAUCAUAAUUUCUUAUUGGUGGCCUUUAGGGGAUUUACUUUUGGC